AGGACGAACGCUGGCGGCGCGCCUAAUACAUGCAAGUCGAGCGAGAACCGGGACUUCGGUCCCGGGGAGAGCGGCGAACGGGUGCGUAUCACGUGAGCAACCUGCCUCGGAGACCGGAAUAACUCGAGGAAACUCGGGCUAAUGCCGGAUGCCCUCGGUGGACCGCAUGGUCCGGCGAGGAAAUGGAUUCCGCUCCGAGAUGGGCUCGCGGCCUAUCAGCUUGUUGGUGGGGUAACGGCCUACCAAGGCGACGACGGGUAGCUGGUCUGAGAGGACGAUCAGCCACACUGGGACUGAGACACGGCCCAGACUCCUACGGGAGGCAGCAGUAGGGAAUCUUGCGCAAUGGGGGAAACCCUGACGCAGCGACGCCGCGUGCGGGAUGAAGGCCUUCGGGUCGUAAACCGCUUUCAGCAGGGACGAAAUUGACGGUACCUGCAGAAGAAGGCCCGGCCAACUACGUGCCAGCAGCCGCGGUAA
rnacentral:rRNA from 1 species